rnacentral:lncRNA from 1 species
UUUAUAGUCUUUGUUUUUUUGGUAAUAAAGUAAUAUUCGUAGUAUUGUAAUCAAUUUGUUUGUUGUUUGUCUGGUGUUUUUCGUUACACAAUCACGCAAUUCUCAUAUGAUGUAUUCUAAAUUGAGGAUAAAGACAAAACCAAAUGAACACAAUUCUGCUAGUAGAUUUCCUAUCCAACAUAUGCAUUCCCACAGGUAAAUAUAUAAAUAAAUUAAAACGAAUCUUGCAAUUUAAAUA